AGUGAACGCUGGCGGUAGGCCUAACACAUGCAAGUCGAACGGCAGCACAGUAAGAGCUUGCUCUUACGGGUGGCGAGUGGCGGACGGGUGAGGAAUACAUCGGAAUCUACUUUUUCGUGGGGGAUAACGUAGGGAAACUUACGCUAAUACCGCAUACGACCUACGGGUGAAAGCAGGUGAUCUUCGGACCUUGCGCGAUUGAAUGAGCCGAUGUCGGAUUAGCUAGUUGGCGGGGUAAGGGCCCACCAAGGCGACGAUCCGUAGCUGGUCUGAGAGGAUGAUCAGCCACACUGGAACUGAGACACGGUCCAGACUCCUACGGGAGGCAGCAGUGGGGAAUAUUGGACAAUGGGCGCAAGCCUGAUCCAGCCAUACCGCGUGGGUGAAGAAGGCCUUCGGGUUGUAAAGCCCUUUUGUUGGGAAAGAAAAGCAGCAGGUUAAUACCCCGCUGUUCUGACGGUACCCAACGAAUAAGCACCGGCUAACUUCGUG
rnacentral:rRNA from 1 species